GGCGGGUCUCCUCGCAUUGCAAGGUGGGAAUCUGGUCAGGUCCGGAAGGAAGCAGCCAUAACCGCUGUCUGCAAGUGCCGGGGGUCAGGCUCGCCGCC
rnacentral:SRP_RNA from 1 species